rnacentral:lncRNA from 1 species
GAAAGUACUGCAUAUGCCUCUCCAAUCAUUUUAAAAAGCCUGUCAGCAUCCUUGUGAACCUCAUGAGCAAUUUCUUUCCAAAGUCGUCCUUCAUCUCCAUUCUCAGUCCUUGCCAGGAACUGUCCAGCCUGCAUCAAGCAGCAGACAUGCAGUCAUCGGAAACAAGUUAAAAACAGUAUGAUAGUACAUUAUAAAUAAGUUAAAAACAGCAGGUACGAAGAUGUGGAACCUUGUCUGGGUGAUGUUUGAGUGCUGCCUUUCGGUAUGCCUUUUUUAUAUCAGCUGCUGUAUCAGAAGCUUUAACUCCCUGGUAUCACAAUAAGAAAUGGUAAACAACUUAAAGGUCCAUUUAGUUUAAAAAUUCACCUAAGAACCUUGCAUAAGCUCUUCUUAUUCAUAAUUGCAACUUAAACAAGAUUAAAAUAACUUUUGAGAUUUAUUUUGCUUCUGACAAGGAAAAGCAUCUGAAUAACACAAAACAUGUCAAGACAACUGAUUUUGAGCUGUUGGAAAAAUAGAAAAGAAAGAAGCAUCCCCAAAGAAAACAAUUUUGCACAUCAAGAUCAUGACUUCUAAAGCACUAGAAGGACUAAUUCAUUAAUAACAUAUGUAUUAUGUCUUUUAUUCACAGGACAUUGCCAAUCCACUUCGAGUCAGUAAUUCUGAUAGAACAUGUUUGAUAAAGGUUAUCCAGAAAAUAUAAGUUCAAAAGACUCCAACGGAAUAGACUUACAAGAUUAGGUAGAAAUCCA